rnacentral:rRNA from 1 species
CUGUAAAACGCGGGAAUUCGAUUAGAGUUUGAUCCUGGCUCACCUUGAACGCUGGCGGCAUGCCUUACACAUGCAAGUCGAACGGCAGNNNNNNNNNNUGCACCUGGUGGCGAGUGGCGAACGGGUGAGNNNNNNAUCGGAACAUGUCCAGUAGUGGGGGAUAGCCCGGCGAAAGCCGGAUUAAUACCGCAUACGAUCUACGGAUGAAANCGGGGGAUCUUCGGACCUCGCGCUAUUGGGGUGGCCGAUGGCGGAUUAGCUAGUUGGUGGGGUAAAGGCCCACCAAGGCGACGAUCCGUAGCUGGUCUGAGAGGACGACCAGCCACACUGGGACUGAGACACGGCCCAGACUCCUACGGGAGGCAGCAGUGGGGAAUUUUGGACAAUGGGCGAAAGCCUGAUCCAGCAAUGCCGCGUGUGUGAAGAAGGCCUUCGGGUUGUAAAGCACUUUUGUCCGGAAAGAAAUCCUGGUGGCUAAUAUCCGCCGGGGAUGACGGUACCGGAAGAAUAAGCACCGGCUAACUACGUGCCAGCAGCCGCGGUAAUACGUAGGGUGCGAGCGUUAAUCGGAAUUACUGGGCGUAAAGCGUGCGCAGGCGGUGAUGUAAGACCGAUGUGAAAUCCCCGGGCUUAACCUGGGAACUGCAUUGGUGACUGCAUCGCUGGAGUAUGGCAGAGGGGGGUAGAAUUCCACGUGUAGCAGUGAAAUGCGUAGAGAUGUGGAGGAAUACCGAUGGCGAAGGCAGCCCCCUG